rnacentral:tRNA from 1 species
UGUGUGGCGCAGCUGGAUAACGCAUCGGACUCCGACUCCGAAGAACGCAGGUUCGAAUCCUGUCACA